rnacentral:rRNA from 1 species
CGGGGGCCCGCACAAGCGGAGGAACAUGUGGUUUAAUUCGAUGAUACGCGAGGAACCUUACCUGGGCUAGAACGCAUUCGGAAUCAGGCCCGAAAGGCCUGCGCCAGCGAUGGCCGCUUGCGAGGUGCUGCAUGGUUGUCGUCAGCUCGUGCCGUGAGGUGUCGGGUUAAGUCCCAUAACGAGCGCAACCCCUACUGCUAGUUGCCAGCGGGUCAUGCCGGGGACUCUAGCGGAACUGCCAGCGUAAGCUGCGAGGAAGGUGGGGAUGACGUCAAAUCAGCACGGCCCUUACGUCCAGGGCUACACACGUGUUACAAUGGCCGGUACAGAGGGCAGCCACCCCGCGAGGGGGCGCGAAUCCCGAAAGCCGGUCCCAGUUCGGAUCGGAGUCUGCAACCCGACUCCGUGAAGCUGGAUUCGCUAGUAAUCGCGCAUCAGCCACGGCGCGGUGAAUACGUUCCCGGGCCUU